rnacentral:rRNA from 1 species
GACGAACGCUGGCGGCGUGCUUAACACAUGCAAGUCGAACGGAGAGGCCCUGGUUUUGUGGGGUGCUCGAGUGGCGAACUGGUGAGUAACACUUGAGUAACCUGUCCCUGACUUUGGGUUAACUUCAUGACACUUGGGCUAAUACCGGCUAGGAGUUCCUGCUGCAUGGUGGGGGUGGGAAAGUUUCGGCGGUUGGGGAUGGACUCGCGGCCUAUUGGCUUGUUGGUGGGGUGGUGGCUUACCAAGGCUUUGAAGGGUAGCCGGCCUGAGAGGGUCACCGGCCACACUGCAACUGAGAUACGGCCCAGACCACUACGGGAGGCAGGAGUGGAGAAUAUUGCACAAUGGGCGGAAGCCUGAUGCAGCAACGCCGCGUGCGGGAUGACGGCCUUCGGGUUGUGAACCGCUUUCGCCUGUGACGAGGCGUGAGUGACGGUAAUGGGUAAAGAAGCACCGGCUAACUACGUG